rnacentral:rRNA from 1 species
UGGGGAAUAUUGGACAAUGGGCGAAAGCCUGAUCCAGCAAUGCCGCGUGAGUGAUGAAGGCCUUAGGGUUGUAAAGCUCUUUUACCAGGGUUGAUAAUGACAGUACCUGGAGAAUAAGCUCCGGCUAACUCCGUGCCAGCAGCCGCGGUAAUACGGAGGGAGCUAGCGUUGUUCGGAAUUAUUGGGCGUAAAGAGCGUGUAGGCGGCCUGGUAAGUCUGUCGUGAAAUGCUGGGGCUCAACCCUGGACGUGCGAUGGAUACUGCUAGGCUAGAGGAUGGUAGAGGCGAGUGGAAUUCCCGGUGUAGCGGUGAAAUGCGCAGAUAUCGGGAGGAACACCAGUAGCGAAGGCGGCUCGCUGGGCCAUUCCUGACGCUGAGACGCGAAAGCGUGGGGAGCAAACAGGAUUAGAUACCCGUGUAGUCC